GUGAACGCUGGCGGUAGGCCUAACACAUGCCAGUCGAACGGCAGCACCGUAAGAGCUUGCUCUUACGGGUGGCGAGUGGCGGACGGGUGAGGAAUACAUCGGAAUCUACUUUUUCGUGGGGGAUAACGUAGGGAAACUUACGCUAAUACCGCAUACGACCUACGGGUGAAGGCAGGGGAUCUUCGGACCUUGCGCGAUUGAAUGAGCCGAUGUCGGAUUAGCUAGUUGGCGGGGUAAAGGCCCACCAAGGCGACGAUCCGUAGCUGGUCUGAGAGGAUGAUCAGCCACACUGGAACUGAGACACGGUCCAGACUCCUACGGGAGGCAGCAGUGGGGAAUAUUGGACAAUGGGCGCAAGCCUGAUCCAGCCAUACCGCGUGGGUGAAGAAGGCCUUCGGGUUGUAAAGCCCUUUUGUUGGGAAAGAAAAGCAGCAGGUUAAUACCCCGCUGUUCUGACGGUACCCAAAGAAUAAGCACCGGCUAACUUCGUG
rnacentral:rRNA from 1 species